rnacentral:rRNA from 1 species
UACGGGGGGGGCUAGCGUUGUUCGGAAUUACUGGGCGUAAAGCGCUCGUAGGCGGCCAACUAAGUCGGAUGUGAAGUCCCCAGGCUCAACUUGGGAACUGCAUCCGAUACUGGAUGGCUUGAAUUCGGGAGAGGGAUGCAGAAUUCCAGGUGUAGCGGUGAAAUGCGUAGAUAUCUGGAGGAAUACCGGUGGCGAAGGCGGCAUCCUGGACCGGCAUUGACGCUGAUGAGCGAAAGCUAGGGGAGCAAACGGG